ensembl:snRNA U5 U5 spliceosomal RNA
CGACUCUGGUUUCUCUUCAUUACGCACAAGCCUUUCGCCUUUUACUAAAAACUUCCGUGGAGAGGAACACUUACGAGUUCAACGUAUUUUUGGAGAGGCUUUGAUUCUUGCAGAGCC